UACGGAGGGUGCAAGCGUUGCUCGGAAUUAUUGGGCGUAAAGGGUAGGUAGGUGGUCUUAUUUGUCUGGGGUGAAAGCCUUGAGCUUAACUCAAGAAGUGCCCCAGAAACGGUGAGACUAGAGUCUUGGAGAGGGUCGUGGAAUUCCCGGUGUAGCGGUGAAAUGCGUAGAGAUCGGGAGGAACACCAGAGGCGAAGGCGGCGACCUGGACAAGUACUGACACUCAACUACGAAAGCG
rnacentral:rRNA from 1 species